rnacentral:rRNA from 1 species
UGGGGAAUAUUGGACAAUGGGGGCAACCCUGAUCCAGCAAUGCCGCGUGUGUGAAGAAGGUUUUCGGAUUGUAAAGCACUUUCGGCGGGGACGAUGAUGACGGUACCCGCAGAAGAAGCCCCGGCUAACUUCGUGCCAGCAGCCGCGGUAAUACGAAGGGGGCUAGCGUUGCUCGGAAUGACUGGGCGUAAAGGGCGUGUAGGCGGUUUGUACAGUCAGAUGUGAAAUCCCCGGG